AGUGAACGCUGGCGGUAGGCCUAACACAUGCAAGUCGAACGGCAGCACAGUAAGAGCUUGCUCUUACGGGUGGCGAGUGGCGGACGGGUGAGGAAUACAUCGGAAUCUACUUUUUCGUGGGGGAUAACGUAGGGAAACUUACGCUAAUACCGCAUACGACCUACGGGUGAAAGCAGGGGAUCUUCGGACCUUGCGCGAUUGAAUGAGCCGAUGUCGGAUUAGCUAGUUGGCGGGGUAAAGGCCCACCAAGGCGACGAUCCGUAGCUGGUCUGAGAGGAUGAUCAGCCACACUGGAACUGAGACACGGUCAAGACUCCUACGGGAGACAGCAGUGGGGAAUAUUGGACAAUGGGCGCAAGCCUGAUCCAGCCAUACCGCGUGGGUGAAGAAGGCCUUCGGGUUGUAAAGCCCUUUUGUUGGGAAAGAAAAGCAGCAGGUUAAUACCCCGCUGUUCUGACGGUACCCAAAGAGUAAGCACCGGCUAACUUCGUG
rnacentral:rRNA from 1 species